rfam:Enterococcus italicus DSM 15952 genomic scaffold SCAFFOLD1, whole genome shotgun sequence.
GGAGGAGUAGCGAAGUGGCUAAACGCGGCGGACUGUAAAUCCGUUCCUUUCGGUUCAGUGGUUCGAAUCCACUCUCCUCCA